ACGAUUUAUCGUGAACCGCGAACGGCUCAUUAUAACAGCUAUAAUUUACUUGAUCUUGACUUCCUACUUGGAUAACUGUGGUAAUUCUAGAGCUAAUACAUGCACCAAAGCUCCGACCUUACGGGAAGAGCGCAUUUAUUCGAACAAAACCAAGCGGCUUCGGCCGUCCGCAGUUGACUCAGAAUAACUAAGCUGAUCGCAUGGUCUUGAACCGGCGACGUGUCUUUCAAGUAUCUGCCUUAUCAACUUUCGAUGGUAGUGUAUCUGACUACCAUGGUGGUGACGGGUAACGGAGGAUAAGGGUUCGACUCCGGAGAAGGGGCCUGAGAAAUGGCCACUACGUCUAAGGAUGGCAGCAGGCGCGCAAAUUACCCACUCUCAGAAUGAGGAGGUAGUGACGAGAAAUAACGAGACCGUUCUCUACGAGGCCGGUCAUCGGAAUGGGUACAAUUUAAACCCUUUAACGAGUAUCUAUGAGAGGGCAAGUCUGGUGCCAGCAGCCGCGGUAAUUCCAGCUCUCAAAAUGCAUAGAAUUAUUGCUGCGGUUAAAAAGCUCGUAGUUGGAUCUGUGCCGGUGGACCCGGUCCACUCGAAAGGGUGCGCACUGGGCUCCCCGGCUUUCUGCCGGUUUUCCCGUCGUGGCCUUAACUGGUUGCGGCGGGUGGCUGGCGAUUUUACUUUGAACAAAUCAGAGUGCUUAAAACAGGCGUUUCGCUUGAAUGUUCGUGCAUGGAAUAAUAGAAAAGGAUUUCGGUUCUAUUUUAUUGGUUUUAUAGACUGAGAUAAUGGUUAACAGAGACAAACGGGGGCAUUCGUAUUGCUGCGUGAGAGGUGAAAUUCUUGGACCGCAGCAAGACGAACUACAGCGAAAGCAUUUGCCAAGAAUGUCUUCAUUAAUCAAGAACGAAAGUCAGAGGACCAAG
rnacentral:rRNA from 1 species